rnacentral:rRNA from 1 species
ACUGAGACACGGCCCAGACUCCUACGGGAGGCAGCAGUGGGGAAUAUUGCGCAAUGGGCGAAAGCCUGACGCAGCGACGCCGCGUGGGGGAUGACGGCCUUCGGGUUGUAAACCUCUUUCAGCAGGGACGAAGUUGACGUGUACCUGCAGAAGAAGCGCCGGCUAACUACGUGCCAGCAGCCGCGGUAAUACGUAGGGCGCAAGCGUUGUCCGGAAUUAUUGGGCGUAAAGAGCUCGUAGGUGGCUUGUCACGUCGGGUGUGAAAGCUUGGGGCUUAACUCCAGGUCUGCAUUCGAUACGGGCUGGCUAGAGGUAGGUAGGGGAGAACGGAAUUCCUGGUGUAGCGGUGAAAUGCGCAGAUAUCAGGAGGAACACCGGUGGCGAAGGCGGUUCUCUGGGCCUUACCUGACGCUGAGGAGCGAAAGCGUGGGGAGCGAACAGGAUUAGAUACCCUGGUAGUCCACGCUGUAAACGUUGGGCGCUAGGUGUGGGGACCUUCCACGGUUUCCGCGCCGUAGCUAACGCAUUAAGCGCCCCGCCUGGGGAGUACGGCCGCAAGGCUAAAGCUCAAAGGAAUUGACGGGGGCCCGCACAAGCGGCGGAGCAUGUUGCUUAAUUCGACGCAACGCGAAGAACCUUACCAAGGCUUGACAUUGCCCGGAAACACUCAGAGAUGGGUGCCUCUUCGGAUCGGGUGACAGGUGGUGCAUGGCUGUCGUCAGCUCGUGUCGUGAGAUGUUGGGUUAAGUCCCGCAACGAGCGCAACCCUUGUUCAAUGUUGCCAGCAACACCCUUCGGGGUGGUUGGGGACUCAUUGGAGACUGCCGGGGUCAACUCGGAGGAAGGUGGGGAUGACGUCAAGUCAUCAUGCCCCUUAUGUCUUGGGCUGCAAACAUGCUACAAUGGCCGGUACAGAGGGCUGCGAUACCGCAAGGUGGAGCGAAUCCCUAAAAGCCGGUCUCAGUUCGGAUUGGGGUCUGCAACUCGACCCCAUGGAGUCGGAGUCGCUGGUAAUCGCAGAUCAGCAACGCUGCGGUGAAUACGUUCCCGGGCCUUGUACACACCGCCCGUCACGUCACGAAAGUCGGCAACACCCGAAGCCCGUGGCCCAACCAGCUUGCUGGGGGGAGCGGUCGAAGGUGGGGCUGGCGAUUGGGACGAAGUCGAAACAAGGUAGCCGUACCGGAAGGUGCGGCUG